GGCGGGGUAGCUCAGCCGGCUAGAGCAAUGGAAUCAUAAUCCAUGUGUCGGGGGUUCGAAUCCCUCCCCCGCUA
rnacentral:tRNA from 1 species